rnacentral:rRNA from 1 species
CCUACGGGUGGCAGCAGUAGGGAAUAUUGCUCAAUGGGGGAAACCCUGAAGCAGCAACGCCGCGUGGAGGAUGAAGGUUUUAGGAUUGUAAACUCCUUUUGUUAGAGAAGAUUAUGACGGUAUCUAACGAAUAAGCACCGGCUAACUCCGUGCCAGCAGCCGCGGUAAUACGGAGGGUGCAAGCGUUACUCGGAAUCACUGGGCGUAAAGAGUGCGUAGGCGGGGUAAUAAGUCAGAUGUGAAAUCCUGUAGCUUAACUACAGAACUGCAUUUGAAACUGUUACUCUGGAGUGUGCGAGAAGUAUGCGGAAUGCGUGGUGUAGCGGUGAAAUGCAUAGAUAUCACGAAGAACCCCGAUUGCGAAGGCAGCCUGCCGCAGCGUUACUGACGCUGAAGCUCGAAAGCGCGGGUAUCGAACAGGAUUAGAUACCCCAGUAGUC